rnacentral:rRNA from 1 species
AGCAGCCGCGGUAAUUCCAGCUCCAAUAGCGUAUAUUAAAGUUGUUGCAGUUAAAAAGCUCGUAGUUGAAUUUCGGGACUAAUAUGUCGGUCGUACUUUGUACGUACUAGCAUUAUUGGUUUCUCCCUUCUGACGAACCACGAUGUCAUUAAUUUGGUGUCAUGGGGAAUCAGGACUGUUACUUUGAAAAAUUAGAGUGUUUAAAGCAGGCUCACGCUUGAAUACAUUAGCAUGGAAUAAUGAAAUAGGACGUUUGAUUCUAUUUUGUUGGUUCUAGGAUUGACGUAAUGAUUAUAGGGAUAGUUGGGGCAUUAGUAUUCAAUUGUCAGAGGUGAAAUUCUUGGAUUUAUUGAAGACUAACUACUGCG